AUGAAUAAGAAGUUUGCACCUAAUCUUGAAUGUGAUGGAAUCAUGGGGACCAUGUUGGACAAAUUUGGGGAAUUAACACAGGGCCUGUCAGAUAUUAAGUAUUGUAUAAAUUAUCAGUCAUUGAUUGGUUGAUUGAUACAGCUUCUAAAAGUGACUAUCUUCUAAGCAGAAAAUCUUUCCAGAGUUGAGAUUUAUCAAGAAUACUGAAUUGAUGAAUACAACAGAAUAUUUCUGUGUUGUAAGAAACAACAAAUAUGAAUACAAAGAAGAAUGGACUUAUAUGAACUGUCAGAAAGUAAGCAGAGCUAAGAAAAUAAUAUGCACUGUGACAAGAACAAUUUAAGUGGAAAGAAUCAUA
rnacentral:lncRNA from 1 species